rnacentral:tmRNA from 1 species
GGGGGCGUAUUGGUUUCGACGGGGAUGAUGAGGGUGCAAGAAGCGAGCUGCGGACUCCGGGGCCGCAUAAAAACCUGGAACUUAAAUUAAAAGCAAACAACGAUAAUUACGCUUUAGCUGCUGCUUAAAGCAGCUUCGUCUUACCUUUAGUACCCGCACUAUAGGAUAAGGCGUCAAUUUAGCGGGGAACGAACCUAACAAAGCUUUGAGUUAGGCCGGAAUCUAUGAAGCUACUAAAACCG